GCCUCAGUCCCACAGGCCUAUAGCCUUACCACUUGGGGCACUGCAACUUCCCAGAGAGGACAGAGCUAUGGCCUGGGUGAACAGACUUAGCCCUAGACACUCCGGGCACAGAGAGCUAAGACUGAGUCGCCAGCCAUACCCUCCGCAGCUAUGAGGACUAGCUCACUUAGAUUUCUCUUGCAGAGAGCCUGGAUGGAGAGAAAAAAAGGCGAGGUAGUUGAAUCCUCUGUACUCACCGCAUUGGUGGUGCUGGAGGUGAAGAUCAUCACAGAGGGUGAAAUCUUAGUUUUCAUUGUUCCCUUGUCUCUGGUCCAGCUACAAAUGACCUUAUCUUUGGGGCUCAAAUUUGGUUCCAAAUGGAUUAUAUACUCCUGGCCUACAGCCCAUGCCUGAACACUUCCCUCAGAUCCCAUAACCACUUGGCAAGUUGGAAUAGUACAAAGGUAAUUCAAGGACCCGCUUUCAAGCCAGGUCUAGCCUGAAGCAUGGUGAACAAAAGGUUUCCCCACAUGAAGGAAGAAGAAAUGUAAAUGGAUGCCCAAUCAUUUGCAGUAGCAGAAGCAGGUGAAAUGUCCCUAAUGGUUUUGUUUUUAUUUUAAGAUUUUAUUUAUUAAUUUGAGGGAGGGAGCACAGAGGGGGAAUGAGAGAGAGAGAAGCAGACUUCCCACUAAGCAGAGGGCUUAAUGUGGGGCUCAAUCCCAUGACCUGAGCUGAAGGCAGAUGCCCAACUGCCUGAGCCACCCAGGGGCCCCAAAAGAUCUCUAUUGGUGGCAAAAUAUCUGGACUGGUUCCGAUAGCUAGUCUGGAUCAUUUUUAUGGAAGAGUAAUAUCUGGAAAAUAAUGAAAAUAGGAUUUUAACAUUAGUAAGAGCCCAAGGAGGAGACUUUAAUUUAAAUCAGGAUUCAUGGAGAACCCUGGUGGAAUAGAUGAAAUGUCUUUAUUGGGAAAGCAGGCCUAAAACCAGGCCAAGAGGACCUGUUGCUGACUUCUGAGGAGAGGGGAAGAAGGCCCUUUGAUGGCUCCAUUGUUCCAAGCUCUGCCCUACAAAUACCACAUGCCUCUCCGCCUCCUCCGCAAGGGCAAAGCGGGAAACUGGGUCGGCUGAGCGGAGCUCGAGGUAGUGGCGGAGCUGGCUCCAACCUCCCUCAGCCUCUCUGCUGCCCCUUGGGGCAGCGACGCCGCGCCAUUCCUGUCGCAGGCACAGAACACACAAAGGAAGCCCCCACCCCUCCUCAGACGUGGGGACACUCUGGGGAGGAGGCUGGCUUGGACCCCGAGUCUGAGCACCUCCCUCCCCUGCGGGGAACAAUAGCCGCCGCCUCCCCCGGGCUGCCGGGCGGUCGCGCGGCACAAAGGCCGUCUCGGGGCCGCGCCACCAUGUGACGCGCGCGCUCGCUCCGCGGUCCCCGGGCCCGCGGCAGGGCGCAGUCAGCAGAGCGCGGGAGCCGCGGGGCCGCGGCCAGGCUGCUGAAAUCCACCUGGCACGCUUUCGGAGAGACAAACGCGGUUCCUCCUACUUCAGAGCAAGUCCGGGCCAGCUGGGAGCCGACCAGAAACCGCAAGCAGAGGAGACGCAGGCACGCGGGGUGAGCGCUCACGGAGGGUGCGAACCGCCGCCCCACGCUCGGCGGUGCAGGGCCGGUCACCUCCUCGCUCCGGGUCCCUCCUGUCGCCUGCCGGCCCGCCCUCAGACCACUUGCGGCCCGCGGCCCUUCCAAGAGGCCGGCAGCGCCAGUCCCGGACGCACUGUGACUCGGUAU